rnacentral:tRNA from 1 species
GAGGGUAUAGCUAAGUGGUAGGGUGCAUGCUUAUCAUGCACGAGGUCCUGGAUUCAAUCCCCAGUACCACCA